CAUGAGAAAUGUUUCUAAUUAGGAGCCUGUUUGGAUGGGCUUAUGCCUAUAAGCUGUUUGCAGCUUAUAAGCAAAAAAAAAAAAAAAGUUGGGGUAGUCUAACUUAUUUUUUUUGGCUUAUAAGCUGUUUCCAACUUAUAAGCUGCUUUAGAUAAGCUAAGUCAAAUGGGCCCAAUUAUUUUUUUGAGCUUAUUUUAAGCACAAAAUGACUUUAAGCUGGCCAGCCAAACACUCAAAAAAGCUGAAAACAGCUUAUAAGCAACUUAUAAGCCAAUCCAAACGGGCUCCUCCAUACUUGAAUGACAUGCAGGAUUGUACCUGAGGCAUCUAGAAUUUUUGGUGUCUUGGAGGACAUAUGGAGCUUAUCUUUCUAAGUUUGCACUACAUCCAAAACUCAAAAGAACCUAGAAUUUUGGCGAUCUAAAGCAGAGGGAUCAAAUGCUCAAAAACUUUGCUUCAUGGUAUGUGAGCGAGGACCAUAUGCAUUUAUUAAUGGCACAGUUCAACUGAUUUGUGAUUGUGUUGGGGAUGGUUCUGGGGUGGAGCACACAUAUUGUAUGGCAUCUUCAUACAUAUCCGAGAGUAUAAUUGUCUUGAGUAGCUUAAGAUACCAUUUAGCUACAUUUUUGGCUCAGGUAUGAAAAGGAACUGAUGCAUCCAAUUCAAAAUCUCUUAUCCGGGGAGCUUGCUCGUGCUCUUCUUAUCCAGGUCCAGAAGCUGAAGCUUAAUAUUGAGGAGUGAGUUAGUGCUACUUUUCUUUUUCCUACAGAUGAAACACCUCGGAAUUCAAGUGCUUCUGGUUUCCGGAUCUGAUCUCAGUAUGUCGAAAACAGGGCUAUGCUGGAGCUAGAUCAAAUUCUUAGAGCAGUCAUAAGACUUGGUUUACUGCUGUUGCUGCUGCUAUGACUUCUGCUUAUGCAGUGGAUUGUGAAACAAUUUCCUGUUUCUUAGAUGACCAUGAAAAGAUUCCUGAACCUAGGCUGAAACAAUGUCCAGAAGUACUUCUCAUAUCAUCAACGGAUCCAGCCCAGUCACUAUAUGAUACGCUCAAAUUACACCUAUUAAUGGCGUAAAGCGGACGUUGUCAAAUAUAGUAACCCAAACAAGGUUGGGGUCGAAUUCCACAGGGAAUAUGGAGAGAAAAAAGUACUAAUUGUAUGCGAUACUAGUCUUUAAAGGCUUUAAUCCUAUUCCGAAUAUUUUGAAAAGAGAUUUGGUAUGUAUUCGCUAUUUUGAAGUGUUUGGAAUUUGUUUGGAUUUGGAGAACCAAAGUUGUGUCCAUGCGAUGAUUAGAUGUUAUGCUAUGGGUGUCAAUAUGAUAUAUUUCUAAUAGGUCGGGGUUAUGUAUGCA